UGGCUCAGUGGUAGAGCGCUAGCCUUGCAUGCCAGAGGCCCUGGGUUCGAUUCCUCAG
rnacentral:tRNA from 1 species